AGAACGAACGCUGGCGGCAUGCCUAAUACAUGCAAGUCGAACGAACACUUCGGUGUUAGUGGCGCACGGGUGCGUAACGCGUGGGAAUCUGCCCUUGGGUUCGGAAUAACAGUUGGAAACGACUGCUAAUACCGGAUGAUGACGAAAGUCCAAAAGAUUUAUCGCCCAGGGAUGAGCCCGCGUAGGACUUAGCUAGUUGGUGAGGUAAAGGCUCGACCAAGGCGACGAUCCUUAGCUGGUCUGAGAGGAUGAUCAGCCACACUGGGACUGAGACACGGCCCAGACUCCUACGGGAGGCAGCAGUAGGGAAUAUUGGAACAAUGGGCGCAAGCCUGAUCCAGCAAUGCCGCGUGAGUGAUGAGGCUUAGGGUUGUAAAGCUCUUUACCGAGAUGAUAAUGGACUAGUAAUCGGGAAGAAUAACGCCCCGGAUAAACUCCGUCGACCAGCCAACGGCCGAC
rnacentral:rRNA from 1 species